GACGAACGCUGGCGGCGUGCUUAACACAUGCAAGUCGUACGGUAAGGCCCUUUCGGGGGUACACGAGUGGCGAACGGGUGAGUAACACGUGAGUAACCUGCCCACAACUUUGGGAUAACGCUAGGAAACUGGUGCUAAUACUGGAUAUGUGCUCCUGCUGCAUGGUGGGGGUUGGAAAGCUCCGGCGGUUGUGGAUGGACUCGCGGCCUAUCAGCUUGUUGGUGGGGUAGUGGCCUACCAAGGCGGCGACGGGUAGCCGGCCUGAGAGGGUGACCGGCCACAUUGGGACUGAGAUACGGCCCAGACUCCUACGGGAGGAAGCAGUGGGGAAUAUUGCACAAUGGGCGCAAGCCUGAUGCAGCAACGCCGCGUGCGGGAGGACGGCCUUCGGGUUGUAAACCGCUUUCAGCAGGGACGAAGCUUUUUGUGACGGUACCUGCAGAAGAAGCACCGGCUAACUACGUG
rnacentral:rRNA from 1 species